CAGCUCCAGGGCAAGUGACUCAUGCUGUCUACAAGUGCAGCAUCCCGCUGAGCCUGGCAGAACCACGAUGCUGCUGACAGUGCCUGCAGAUUUCUACUGAAACCUUGGCAAGGGAUUUUCUCCAGAUCAAGAUUUACAAGAGGAUAUCAUAGAGGUUGGAACUAGUGUCCUGCAACAUGGUGAUGACCACGUGGCUGUGCAGCCUUCUGUGAAGAGGAUGGUAGAGUGUGGUUUCCUCAAGCCACCCUGUGCCCUUGGAAAAGUCCCACUUUCUUCUGAAUAUGAGGAAAAUGGAAUACCAUCAGCUGAAGAUCUUCCUAACCAACCCUACUUCUAUCCUCAGUGCAAAGGAAAAAGGAAGCUUCCUUCAAAGCAAAAUCCUUCCAAAA